rnacentral:lncRNA from 1 species
AUGCGGAAGUACCACUUUAUCACACAAAAACGCAGUAAAAAGCAGAGGCUCUGAUCCAGCUUUGCUGCCUGGAAAAAGAAUGACUGUCAUAGACAACAAAGUUCUGGAUCUCGUCGACAAGGCAGAAUUCCACUCUCAACUCUGCAAAGAUUAGACUUUACAUUUAGUCUGCCAUUACCCUCUGACCUCAGUGAAAAGGAUGAAGGUGACCAGGUAUUCUCAUUCUUCAACCAAAGCAUGGCCACGGUUUUGAAUGGGCUGCUGCAUCCUCUGCCAGGGUGUGAUGCAGCAUCUGGAUUCUACUUGCUUCCGUGGUGAUUGGCAGAACCUCGCCGUUUCUUCCGGAAGAAAUUGCCAUUGCUGAUUCGGCAUGAAAUCACAUCCAAGAACAAUCCAGGGAACAGAAUCCAUUUGAGAUAAAGAAGACACCUUUCAUAUCAGUAACUGGAAGACAGUCAAGGAAACCUCUCUGAGAUCCUGCAUGGAGCCCCACAUACAGCUUCCUGUUCCACUGGAAUCAGAGGCAGUUGGGGGAAAGUCUCAAAUCAUCACAUGGAGAAACAACCUCUACUACUUUUAAAUUCUUCUGAAGUGACUAACUUGAUGGUUGGAUAUGUGCUUCACACAUGUUCAGCAUUACAGUAGAGUAAUAAAUAACUAUGUUGUAAAGAUUUCCAAGGAUCAGCUUCUGCACUGCAUAGUUAUUAAUAAACCAAUAAAAUGUAAUUUAUUUCUCUUUGA